UCCUACGGGAGGCAGCAGUGGGGAAUAUUGGACAAUGGGCGAAAGCCUGAUCCAGCCAUGCCGCGUGUGUGAAGAAGGUCUUCGGAUUGUAAAGCACUUUAAGUUGGGAGGAAGGGCAGUAAGUUAAUACCUUGCUGUUUGACGUUACCAACAGAAUAAGCACCGGCUAACUUCGUGCCAGCAGCCGCGGUAAUACA
rnacentral:rRNA from 1 species